rnacentral:rRNA from 1 species
GACGAGGGGUCCAAGCGUUGUUCGGAAUCAUUGGGCGUAAAGCGGGUGUAGGUGGCUCUAUAAGUCAGGAGUGAAAGCCCCCAAGCUUAACUUGGGAAGUGCUUUUGAUACUGCAGAGCUUGAGUGUGGGAGAGGAUCGUGGAAUUCCAGGUGUAGUGGUGAAAUACGUAGAUAUCUGGAGGAACACCAGUGGCGAAGGCGACAUACUGGCUCAUUACUGACGCUGAGGCUCGAAAGCGUGGGGAGCAAACAGG